UGGGGAAUAUUGGACAAUGGGCGAAAGCCUGAUCCAGCCAUGCCGCGUGUGUGAAGAAGGUCUUCGGAUUGUAAAGCACUUUAAGUUGGGAGGAAGGGCAGUAAGCGAAUACCUUGCUGUUUUGACGUUACCGACAGAAUAAGCACCGGCUAACUCUGUGCCAGCAGCCGCGGUAAUACAGAGGGUGCAAGCGUUAAUCGGAAUUACUGGCGUAAAGCGCGCGUAGGUGGUUCGUUAAGUUGAAUGUGAAAGCCCCGGGCUCAACCUGGGAACUGCAUCCAAAACUGGCGAGCUAGAGUAGGGCAGAGGGUGGUGGAAUUUCCUGUGUAGCGGUGAAAUGCGUAGAUAUAGGAAGGAACACCAGUGGCGAAGGCGACCACCUGGGCUCAUACUGACACUGAGGUGCGAAAGCGUGGGGAGCAAACAGG
rnacentral:rRNA from 1 species